GAUGACUCAGCUCAAUUGAUAGAGCACUAUCCUGAUACGAUAGCGGUUGACAGUUCAAUUCUGUCAGUCAUCACUA
rnacentral:tRNA from 1 species